rfam:Bacillus sp. 2_A_57_CT2 genomic scaffold supercont1.4, whole genome shotgun sequence.
UCCGUGGCGACACGGAAUCUAAAGGAAGCGAGCGGCAAACCUCCGGUCUGAGGAACACGAACUUCAUAUAAGGCUAGGUACCAUUGGACGAGUUUGCAGAUCAAAACAAAGUCCUUACUGCCAAAGGUGGUACAGAGUAAAUGGAGCAGAUAGAUGGAGGGAAAGACUGUACUC